rnacentral:tRNA from 1 species
GCCAGAGUGGUGAAAUUGGUAGACACGCAGUCUUCAGGAGGCUGUCUUCCGUAAGGGAGAUGCGGGUUCGAGUCCCGCCUCUGGCA